GGAGAGAAUGCUGGCUAAGGAACUCGGCAAAAUAGCACCGUAACUUCGGGAGAAGGUGUGCCCGCUGACGUGGAAGGACUUGCUCCUCGAGCGUCGACGGGUCGCAGUGAAGCGGGGGUUGCGACUGUUUACUAAAAACACAGGACUCUGCGAACUCGUAAGAGGACGUAUAGGGUCUGACGCCUGCCCGGUGCUGGAAGGUUAAGGGGAGAAGUUAGCCGUAAGGCGAAGCCUCGAACCGAAGCCCCAGUAAACGGCGGCCGUAACUAUAACGGUCCUAAGGUAGCGAAAUUCCUUGUCGGGUAAGUUCCGACCUGCACGAGGGCGUAACGACAUCCCCACUGUCUCGGCCAGCAACUCAGCGAAAUUGUAUCGGGGGUGAAGAUACCCUCUACCCGCGGCAAGACAGAAAGACCCCAUGAACCUUCACUGCAACUUGACAGUGAGGCUCGGGACAGUCUGCGUAGGAUAGGUGGGAGACUUUGAAGUCGGGGUUCUGGCCUCGAUGGAGUCACCGUUGAAAUACCACCCUGGCUGUUCUGGGCUUCUAACCGACAUCCGUGAUCCGGAUGCGGGACACUGUCUGGUGGGCAGUUUGACUGGGGCGGUCGCCUCCUAAAACGUAACGGAGGCGCGCGAAGGUACCCUCAGGCUGAUUGGAAACCAGCCGUAGAGUGCAAACGCACAAGGGUGCUUAACUGUGAGACCGACAGGUCGAGCAGGUGCGAAAGCAGGCGUUAGUGAUCCGGUGGUCCCGCAUGGAAGGGCCAUCGCUCAUCGGACAAAAGGUACUCUGGGGAUAACAGGCUGAUCGCGCCUGAGAGUUCAUAUCGGCGGCGCGGUUUGGCACCUCGAUGUCGGCUCAUCGCAUCCUGGGGCUGGAGCAGGUCCCAAGGGUUUGGCUGUUCGCCAAUUAAAGCGGUACGCGAGCUGGGUUUAGAACGUCGUGAGACAGUUCGGUCUCUAUCUGCCGUGGGCGCAGGACACUUGAGAGGAGCUAUUCAUAGUACGAGAGGACCUGAAUGGACGUGCCUCUAGUGAACCGGUUGUCAUGCCAAUGGCAUAGCCGGGUAGCCACGCACGGAACGGAUAACCGCUGAAAGCAUCUAAGCGGGAAGCCGGCCUCAAGAUUAGGUAUCCCUGGACCGCGAGGUCCCUAAAGGCCCCUUGUAGACUACGAGGUAAUAGGCGGGAGGUGGAAGCACAGCAAUGUGUGGAGCUGACCUGUACUAAUCGGCCGUGAGGCUUGACCUA
rnacentral:rRNA from 1 species